GGAAUCCGUUUCCUCUCCGCAUCAGUGGCAGAGAUGUCCCUGCCCCAACCGGUGGGUGUGCGGAUUCUGUGCGGAUUCGCACGGUGUUUGGCACGUGGGUCUCACUCUAUUGCUCAGGCUGGAGUGCAGUGGCCCCAUCUCAGCUCACUGAGACCUUCGCCUCCCAGGCUCAAGUGAUCCUCCCACCUCAGCCUCCAGCAUAGCUGGGACUACAGACAGGGUCUCACUGUGUCACCAAGGCUGGCUCAAUCACGGCUCACUGCAGCCUCGACCUCCUGUGUUCAAGCGAUCCUCCUGCCUCAGCCUCCCGAGUAGCUGGGACUAUAGGGGUGCACCACCAUGCCCAGGUUGACAAACAUGGUGUCAGAAGUGGGAUCUGAAGCAUAAUCAUUUUCAGAAUAAACUGGUGAUUCUUGGAACCAGGGUGCAGUACUCCCUUGAGGCCUUUCAGCUCUCUACUUCCACGGCUCUCCUUUUUCUGCCCUGGUGAGUCUUCUCUCAAGCCAAGCCUCCCUCUUUUUGGCAGAUGCUCUUUAACUUUGUUUGGGAUGUGAUUUGAGUAACAUCACCUUAAUAAAGAGUGUUGCAUCCCUUCUGGGAUGAUAAAAGA
rnacentral:lncRNA from 10 species